CCUACGGGGCGCAGCAGUGAGGAAUAUUGGUCAAUGGCCGAGAGGCUGAACCAGCCAAGUCGCGUGAAUGAUGAAGGUCUUCGGAUUGUAAAGUUCUGUGAUGGGGGAUGAACACAAUGACGGUACCCCAAUAGCAAGCCACGGCUAACUACGUGCCAGCAGCCGCGGUAAUACGUAGGUGGCAAGCGUUAUCCGGAAUGACUGGGCGUAAAGGGUGCGUAGGUGGUUUAGUAAGUUGGCGGUGUAAUUCCGGGGCUCAACCUCGGCGCUACCGCCAAAACUAUUAGACUAGAGUGCAGGAGGGG
rnacentral:rRNA from 1 species